GGCGCGCUUCGCUAUUUCAAAACUCAUAACGUUUUCUUCUUUUUCAUGGAAAAGUUUCAUUCUAAAGCUCUCUGUGUCAUGUGUGCAAUCGUUACGGAAGAGUGUAAUUUAUUAUAGUCAUAUAACGAUCGCAUAACUCUUAUAACGGUUCUUCUGUGUUGAUGGCAAGUAAGAAGUUACGAAGGACGGGCGUCUCAGCAGAGCUCUGCGAGCGACUCAAGCGCCAUCAACUGGAAACCUGUCAGGAUGUCCUGUCCAUCACACCCGUGGAGCUCAUGCGGCUGGCUGGACUCAGUUACCCCGCGGCUCUGGAGCUCCUGCAGCUGCUCAGUAGAGCCUGUGCCCCGGCUGUGAGCCGCGCAUGGGAUUUGUGGAGGAAGAAGGGAGAGCUGUGUUUCUCGACAUCACUUCCUGCCCUGGACACAUUACUGCGUGGAGGACUGCCGAGGGGUGCUCUCACUGAGGUGACCGGCCCGUCAGGCUGUGGAAAGACUCAGCUGUGUAUGAUGCUCAGUGUUUUGGCUACGCUGCCGAGGACUAUGGGAGGUCUGGACAGCGGGGUCAUCUUCAUCGACACAGAGUCGGCGUUCUCUGCUGAAAGAUUGGUGGAAAUGGCAGAGGCCAGAUUCCCAGAGUUCUUCUCGGUGAAGGAGCGUCUGCUGGAGAUGGCGUCUCGUGUUCAUCUCUUCAGGGAACUCACCUGCCAGGACGUCCUGAAUAGGCUGGAGCGUCUGGAGGAAGACAUAAUUGCGUGUCGAGCCGGGCUUCUUAUUUUGGAUUCCGUGGCUUCUGUUGUGAGGAAGGAGUUUGACACGUCGCUGCCGGGAAAUCUAACGUUCAGGAGUAACCUACUGGGCCAGGAAGCUGCUGUACUGAAGUACCUCUCGCAGGCCUUCUGCAUCCCAGUGGUUUUAACUAACCAGAUCACCACACGUGUGGGCGAGAAGGUUCACUGUCCUCAGUGGAAUCAGGCAGAUGUAUCUAAGGAGGAGGACUCAGGUUUUGUGACAGCGGCGCUUGGAAACACAUGGAGUCACAGUGUUAACACACGCCUCAUCGUCCAGUACGAGGACACAGAACGGAGACAGAUUGUCAUAGCCAAAUCACCUGUGGCCCCUUUUGCCGUGCUGAGCUACACUGUUCAGAAGGAGGGCAUCCGUCUUGAGGGGAAUGAAAACCCAGAAAGUGUUUUAAACCAGGGAACCGAUCCAGGGCUUCAGCCAAUCAGAGUGAGGUCGGGGUUCAUCUGCAACCUUUCCCAGGCCACACCUUCUACUUGUUAAGAACUUCCUUUGGCCCCAGAAUGCAGUGGCCGUUAUUGCCCUAUUUAAAGGUACAAGCUAUGGUUAACCAUUGCAGGAACAUGUGGAGGACAUACACAAAGCAGACGGAUUGGACUUUGUAUAACAUUACCUCCGUUCUCAUCCAGUUAGAAAACUGCAACAUCAGUCAGCUAUUGAUUGACAGCUGUAUUUUUCCUCUCGCUGCUCGUGUGAUAAGACGGCAGUCUUGGACAAACGCUACUUGACCCUGGCUGGCCGUUGCCAUGGAUUCUGUUCCCAUGACUCCUGUUCCCAUGGUUCCUUCAGCCUUAAAGGGAAGUUUGUCUGAUUAGAUGAACAAUGGUGUUAUUUUGGCUGGUUCCCCCUUUUUCGCCUUGUUUUGCGUUUCGUUGUAUAUGUGCACAGAUACGCAUUGACACAUUCUUUGUAUUUAUUUUUAUGACUUGUUUCUUCCUAAUAGGCUUUUAUAUAGAGUUCUAACAUUAAUAAAUGCAAACUCAAGGUCUUCCAAACUCUUAAUUAUUGUGAUUUCAUUAGUAGAAUCUGCUCACAGUGCAGACGUCAGGGACAUCUUUAGCCCUCGGCCAGCAGAUAAAGUCAGUUGUGACAGCCGAACACGCAAUGCUGAGUAGGUGUUCUUUCUGUCUAUCUUUCUCUUUCAUCCUCUUUCUGUAUAUCUCUCCUCCCUUCCCCCCAUAAGCGGGCUGAUAGGCUGAGAGUUGACAUGUUUUUACAGAUCUUUUAAUGGUUGACCUGUGGCGAUAUCACUGCCUGUGCCUGUAGUGGAGGGAGGAAAACUCUCCUUCCUCGCCUGUAAACCGGAAGGCAAAAAUCAGAGCAGAGAGUCAUGAGAUCCUGACGUGGGUGCAAAACGUCCACAGCGAUCAGUUCUCAUCCAAACCCAUCCAAACCAGCCACACAAAAAGAUCAUGCACAUGGGCUAGAUGUCAAAUAUCAGUAGAUUUCAACUAGCCUUGAUUCUUUUCUUUUUUUUUUUGCAGUGUUUGUUUUUGAAUUGAUAAAAUUGGAUGCUUGUGAUCUCAAGUCAGUUCUGUUUGGAACCUUUUGUUUUGUUCUGCUUUCUUAGGCUUAUUUAGUUCUUGCACUGGCUUGAGGUUAAACCGACAACCACACGUUCCCUUAUCUAGAAACUCCCCGAAAUGCCCCUUUUAGUGCAAAUCGUUUCAAUCUUCUGAUACUGUGAACUCGAGAGCAGAGC